UACGUAGGUGGCAAGCGUUGUCCGGAAUUAUUGGGCGUAAAGCGCGCGCAGGUGGUUUCUUAAGUCUGAUGUGAAAGCCCACGGCUCAACCGUGGAGGGUCAUUGGAAACUGGGGAACUUGAGUGCAGGAGAGAAGAGUGGAAUUCCACGUGUAGCGGUGAAAUGCGUAGAGAUGUGGAGGAACACCAGUGGCGAAGGCGACUUUCUGGUCUGUAACUGACGCUGAGGCGCGAAAGCGUGGGGAGCAAACAGG
rnacentral:rRNA from 1 species